CCGCUGCCUGCUGGUUGCUCAGGACCCCACGUAUUAGCCAAUGAGAAGUGCACUGGUCCUGGUUGCCUGGGAAACCGCGUGACAACAAGAUGGCGGCGCCGCGGGGGGCUCGGCCGACCUGCGUGGGAGUUCCUGACAGCUAGAAUCUAGACGUAGAACUAUGAGCUCACCUCUGGCCUCCCUUGGCAAGACCCGGAGAGUGCCUCUGCAGUCGGAGCCUGUGAACCCGGGGCGGCGAGGGAUAAAAAUCUACGGAAAUGAAGAUGAGGUAGACAUGCUGAAUGACGCACACGGCUCUGAAGAAAGGAUCUCUGUCCCUUCCUGCUAUGGCAGCGUAGGUGCCCCGGUGAAUAGGCAAGUCCCUGUGUCCCACGACUCGGAGCUGGUGGCCACCAUGAUGAAGAAGUUGCGGGAUCUGGAGCAGCAGGUGAAGGCCCAGGCUGACGAGAUGCUGUUCAAGGAUCGGAAGAUACGGGCCCUGGAGGAAUUGGUGGAGACCCUCCAGGAGCACCAGGGCUCAGUGACCCUGCGGCGGCAGGAGGAGCUGGAAGCAACGUGCACUCAGCUGCAGCGGCAGGUCGGGGAGAUGGAGCGGUUCCUUGGGGACUACGGCCUGCAGUGGGUGGGUGAGCCCGUGGACCAAGAGGACUCUGAGGAUAACGAGAGGGACUGGAUGACAGCCAAGAAGUUCUGGAAGCCAGGGGACUCAUUGGUACCCCCUGAGGUGGACUUUGACAGGCUGCUGGCCAGCUUGAAGGAUCUCAGUGAGCUGGUGGUAGACAGUGACACGCAGGUGACGCCAGUGCCCAGCAGAGUGCCACACCAUGCUCUCGAACCCAUCCCACUGAAGCUCUACCGGAACGGCAUCAUGAUGUUUGACGGGCCCUUCCGGCCCUUCUACGCGCCCUCCACACAGCGCUGCCUUCGAGACAUAUUGGAUGGCUUCUUCCCCUCAGAGCUCCAGCGGCUGUACCCUGAUGGGGUCCCCUUUAAGGUGAUGGGCUGCUCCUCAAACCACUCGCUCCUGGUAUGGGGAUUUUGGAGGGGAUGGCGAUGCUUCCUCAGGCAUCACCCAGUCUGGGAUGGGAAGCCACUGCCUCAUCUCAGGGGAUCCCAAUCUGAUGACCUCCAGGAGGAGGAUGAGCCUGAAACCAGGCUGGGAAGGGAGUGGGGAGGCUGCGGUGGCCAUAGCUGCUACAUCAGCAGUGGGGGAGACACACGGCUGAGCAGCAGGCAGCGCCCCCUGCUGGUGUCCUGAAAGCACAGUCUUCUGCUGCGUGGGACCCCUGGCCCUCUUCCCCAGCACUCAGGACACCGGGACAGGCCUGAGAACAGGGCACAAUGAGGAGUCCAUGCGAAGGUGGCCUGGCUUCCCCCAGAGCCUCCUGGAGUACCUGGUUGGGGUGGAAGGCAGUGUCACGCGGAGGGCAAGUGUUGGGACUAAAGGACGCUAAGUGGAGUCAGCCCCCUGCUGUGGGGGCGGUGGGCGGUGAGGAGGGUGCUGGGCUGGGAGCACAUGAGGCGGCGUCCCAGAGGGUGGUGAGUUAGCUCCACAGUGAGGGCAUGCGAGGGAGCGUGUGCCACCACGGCUUGGAAAAUAGCAUGAGUCAUGACCGGGGGUGUUUGAGGCGGUUCAUGCUAAGCUGGGCUUGGCCCUCUCCUGACACCUUCACCCCUCCGCUCCCGCUCUGCUCCUGUGAGGAGGGGCUCUGUGAGGAGGAAAUCAGUACUGUGGCUCCAGCUGGCAUGAUGAGGGGAGCCUGCGGCAAGAGCAGGGCCCAGGUGAGUGACCUGCGCGAUCAGGUCUACCCAGAGAAUGGGCUGGACCCAUUCCCAGGUGAGGGCCGCGUGGUAGGCCUGCAGAGGAUUCGAAAACCCUGGGACAGGACGGAGCACCCAGGCUCCAUUGCCCUCCCUGCAGGCUCCAGGAUGACUGCAGAGAAGUUUCUGAACAGGCUCCCCAAAUUUGUGAUCCGACAAGGCGAGGUGAUUGACAUCAGGGGUCCCAUCCGGGACACCCUGCAGGUGAGGCCAGCCCUGGCUCCCCCAGCCUUUUUGGGGGGCUUUAUCAUCAUCCAUGCCCAGCCUACCAGAGUGGCAGCUUAUCUGGAGGCUCAGGUUUGGGGUCCUGAAGACGACCUGGAUGGAGAAGUGAAUCCCUCAGAGCUAUUCCACUGUCUCCUGGAAAGGAUGUUGCUGGUGAGGGCUCUGAGCUGGGACCAGAGAGCAGAUGGCCAGUGCAGGGGUAUGGCUGGAAGAGGGGAAAAAUCAGAGGAGUCUUGGCUGGGAGUUAGCUCAAGUCCAAUCUGAAAUACUCCUUCCUGGCCUUCACAGAACUCAUCAUCCUCUCUCCUCACUCCCUGUCCUGCUACUCGCCCCCCCAUCCCCCGCCCCGGUCUCCACCUGUGAAAGGUACCAAACCCGUCUCUCAGGACUCUGCCUUCACCGCACAGGGCUGAGUCCUGUCAGAUCUGUCGAUCCCCACAACUUCUCCUGAAUCCAACUCUUCUCUCCAUCUGCACCACCUACCAUCCUAGUCUGGGCUCCAGAGUGUUUCCCAGACAACUGCAGUGGCCCAUCACUGGGCUCCCACCUCCACUCCUGCCCUGCCAUCAUCCUCCCCCAGCAGCCUCUGUGCACUUUUAAAAAUAAACUGGGGAGUUCCCUGGUGGUGUAGUGGGUUAAGGAUCUGGUGUUGUCACUGCUGUGGCACUGGUCACUGCUCUGGCGCGGGCUCAAUCCCUGGCCCUAGAACUUGCGCAUGCCAAGGAUGUGGCUUAAAAAAAAAAAAGUAUAAACUGGAUCUUGGCUCUUCCCUGUUGAAACCUUCCAGUGGUUAUUAGGUAAGGCCUGUCAUACCUUUCUGGUCCUCUUUCUACCUCUAACCUUUUCUUUCUUCCAGUCCAACCUGAUUCCCGGUUUCAGCCACUUGAACUGCUGACCCUUUCCCAAAUAUUUCACCUCUUCUCAGAAGCUUCCCUGAGCUAUCUGGAAUAUCUUUGCUUCCCAUUCCAUUUCUAAGGACUCCUCCUCAUCCUUCACUCACUGCUCAAGUGUCAUUUCCCCAGGGAGGCCCCCCCUGACCCAUGCUGGGUUGGGCAUCCAGACUGGUCACUGUGUGGGGUUCUGUCUCCCUCACUAGGAUGAGGGAAGGGAAUGAUGGGAUUCCCAAAGUUUCCCUUCCACUUUCUCUCCUUGGGCCCCAGUUUGCACAGAACAACCCCUCUUCUCCUGGGCUCAUUUGUCUCAUCCAUCCCUGGUUAGGGAGAAGUCCCUUGUAAGGGUUGGGGGGAGGGUAUGACUCUGGCAGGGCCCAGGGCUCUGUCCACACCAUCUAUGAUGCUUUCCAGAACUGCUGUCCAUUGCCUGCCCGGAUCCAGGAAAUCGUGGUGGAGACGCCUGCCUUGGCUGCUGAGCGUGAGAGGAGUCAGAAGUCGCCAGAGUCGCCGGCGCCCCAGCUCUCCAUGCUGCGCAUCAAAUCUGAGAAUGGCGAGCAGGCCUUUCUGCUGAUGAUGCGGCCUGAGGACACCAUCGGAGAUGUGCGCGUCCUGCUCGCGCAGGCCAGGUGGGUGUGGGGCGCGGCUGGCAGCCCGAGGGAGCGGUAGCCCCGCCUGAUCCGUUCUUUCCUGUCCCCAGGGCCGUGGAUGCCACCACCUUCGAGAUCUUCAGUACGUUCCCGCCCACAGUCUACCACGACGCUCUCACUCUGCUGGCCGCAGGCCUAGUGCCCAGCGCCACACUGCUGCUUCGGGCGCACCGGGCCCCGCGGCCCGCCCCCCGCCCCGAAUAAAGCACCCGCCCAGACACUGGCUGCUCCCGAGAGGCUCUCUGGGCGGGGCAGCCAGGCUUCGCCAGCUCUGCCGGGGGAGGGGGCGGUGCCGACCCGCCCCCUCCGUAACUCGAGCCCAGCUGCGGGCUAGGCCGCUGGGUCUUUGUCCUCCAGGUUCCUCUUUCCGCCCAGAAGGGCUGGCUGAUCCUGGGGAAGGAGGGCCAGCCCCAGCCCAGCCUCUGUUGGGGUAGUAGCGCCUCAAGUGCAAGCGUGCAGCCAGCGUAUCCCUGCCAGACAUGCACAGAACCACCGGCACAUGGGGACAGUUCCUCAACACUGUGCACCAAAGCCACUGCCCCCACCCUGGCAGAACUGCAGCUGGGCAUCCAUUUCCAUGACACACCCACACCUAGCUGGUCCACUGGGACACAGGCAGCUGGCCACAAGGCACAGCCAUGUUACUGACUGGCAUACAAACAUGCAGUAGACAUGAAGGCACACACGUGUCAUGGUCACCAUUGUAUGCAUGUGAACUGGUGCGUGACCCACACUGUCUCUAGAAACCAUUGGUCCACACAGGUAUGUAUGUGCUGGACACAUUUCCAACACAUGCCUUAUCACGCACGCAGGUGCCACACAGAGGACAGCCAAUUGACCUGCCCACAGGAGCACAGCCUCAGCACAAUCACAUCUACCAGCCUUGCUCAGGGCAGGGACCCAGAAUGCCCAGGCACACCAAACAGACACAGUGCCAAUGGAAUGGGACAUUUAAUUGUUUCUGCGGUGCUCCCAGAUGGGGAUUGCGGGGCAUUUGGCAGAGCCCUGGCUAAUGGAACCAGCAAAGGUGCCCAUUAGCCAGUGCCAGGCAGGGUGGCAGUCUCAGGACCUGGCUGACAACAGCCAGCACUUGGGCUGUUAAUUUCCGAGACUAGUGGGUAAGGAAUGUUGCCUUCGAAUGGAGGAGGGGGCUACAGUUAGGAGAGGGGAGAAAGGUCAUGGGUUAGGGGGAGGGGCUCCAAGGUCAGAAGGUUAAGAAUACCAGGCGGUUGGUCACAAGGUCCUUCGUGGCUGGGUGAUUGCUAAGGGGAAUGUGGUGACGGAGUCCGGGCGCUGGCUU